UGACGGAGGGUGCAAGCGUUAUCCGGAAUUCACUGGGUUUAAAGGGUGCGUAGGCGGGCAGGUAAGUCCGUGGUGAAAUCUCUGAGCUUAACUCAGAAACUGCCAUGGAUACUAUUUGUCUUGAAUAUUGUGGAGGUAAGCGGAAUAUGUCAUGUAGCGGUGAAAUGCUUAGAUAUGACAUGAGAACACCAAUUGCGAAAGGCAGCUUACUACACAGUCAUUGACGCUGGAGGCACGAAAGCGUCGGGGAUCAAACAGG
rnacentral:rRNA from 1 species